GGAGCCGCGGCGCCUGAUGCGCUCGGGGCUGGGGCUGAUCGUGCUGGGCCACGGCAGCCUGGUGCUGGGCGCCAUCGUGCACGGCUCGGUCCUGCGGCACGUGGCCGGCGCCCGCCGCGCCGUCACCCCCGAGUACGCGGCGGCCAACGUGGUGUCGGUGUGCUCGGGACUGCUGAGCAUCGCCGCGGGCAUCGUCGCCAUCCUGGUGUCGCACAACCUGUCCCGGGCGGCCCUGCACUGGACCCUCCUGAGCGUGUCCCUGCUGAACUGCCUCCUGUCCACCGCGUGUAGCGUGGGGCUGGCACUGGCCAUUGCCCUCACGGUGCACGGCCGGGGCACACACCUGGUCAGAGGCUGCAACAGUUCUGCGCUGCCUGCGGACGCCCGCACAGCCAUCGCAACCAACGACUGUCCCUUCAACACCACUCGCAUCUAUGCAGCCUGGUGUGGUGCCCUCGUUCUGAUGACACCCUGCUCCACAGGACACAGCCCUGGCCCUCUGGUUCCCUUCCCUGCUGCUGGCAGCUGCGGAAGCCGUGCUCUCGGGCAGGUGCUGUUUGGUUGCCCUGGUCUUCCGGGGCAUUGGGCCCUGUACACGCAGCUGUGACAAAGAGCAGCUGGCCAGGCCAAGUGCAGUGAUGGAGAGGUCACCCCGAGAGAGGCAGCAGCUCCUGGCAGGGCUGGCUGAGUCUCGUGCCUAGCUAGAGAGGUGGUGCUGCAGGGAAGCUGCUGUGAUCCAGAGCAAGGUGACAUCACACCUGCACCAUGCCCCUGCUGUGGUGUUGGUGUGGGUAAGGUGGGCUGCAGGGACGAGGGGUGUGCCUUCCUUCUCCUCCAGCCCCACCACCCCACUUGGCACAGAUACUGCAGGUCAGAAAAUGCUUUGGGCCCCAGACGCUCUCCCCUUCUUUCCCCAAGCUGCCAGGCCCUUCCUGGCAUGCUGAAGGCUCUGUCGGCAGUCACGUCUGUCAGCAGUGACUGGGGUGAGCAGAGGUGCUGGGGCCCAAGUCCUGGUGGCACUGCGGGCAGCUCAGCUGGCUGUGCCCUUGCUCAGGCAGGGCAGGGAAGGUGAAGAAUCCCUUUGGUGUGAGCCUCUGGCUUUCUUGAGUAAAUAAACUUUUCCUUUCCA